rnacentral:rRNA from 1 species
UACGGGGGGGAGCAAGCGUUGUUCGGAUUUACUGGGCGUAAAGGGCGCGUAGGCGGUCAGCACAAGUCAGUUGCGAAAUCUCCGGGCUUAACUCGGAAAGGUCAACUGAUACUGUGCGACUAGAGUGCGGAAGGGGCAACUGGAAUUCUCGGUGUAGCGGUGAAAUGCGUAGAUAUCGAGAGGAACACCUGCGGCGAAGGCGGGUUGCUGGGCCGACACUGACGCUGAUGCGCGAAAGCCAGGGGAGCGAACGGG